AUUGAACGCUGGCGGCAUGCCUUACACAUGCAAGUCGAACGGUAACAGGUCUUCGGAUGCUGACGAGUGGCGAACGGGUGAGUAAUACAUCGGAACGUGCCCGAUCGUGGGGGAUAACGGAGCGAAAGCUUUGCUAAUACCGCAUACGAUCUACGGAUGAAAGCAGGGGACCGCAAGGCCUUGCGCGGACGGAGCGGCCGAUGGCAGAUUAGGUAGUUGGUGGGAUAAAAGCUUACCAAGCCGACGAUCUGUAGCUGGUCUGAGAGGACGACCAGCCACACUGGGACUGAGACACGGCCCAGACUCCUACGGGAGGCAGCAGUGGGGAAUUUUGGACAAUGGGCGAAAGCCUGAUCCAGCCAUGCCGCGUGCAGGAUGAAGGCCUUAGGGUUGUAAACUGCUUUUGUACGGAACGAAAAGACUCUUUCUAAUAAAGAGGGUCCAUGACGGUACCGUAAGAAUAAGCACCGGCUAACUACGUG
rnacentral:rRNA from 1 species